ensembl:lncRNA
GAAUUGUUCUGGAACUAGAAAACAUUGCAAGGAGCCUUUGAAUGAUUCAGCAGCAUGGAUGGUAUGGUUCAGGAGCCUAUGCUUAUGCCAUUCUCCUUGGAGGCAUUCAAGGCCAGGCUGGAUGUGGCUCUGGGCAGCCUGGUGGGGUGGUUGGCGACCCUGCACAUAGCAUGGGGUUGAAACUAGAGAAUAAUUGUGGUCCUUUUCAACCCAGGUCAUGCUGUGAUUCUAUGAUUCUCCUGCCUAAUUUACUCAUGAAAGUUGUACUGGAGUGGAAGCUCAGUAUGAGAGAAUACCAUCAGGCAACACCAUGUCUGUGAUAUAUCUGUUGGAGUUCCAGAUGUGGAAAGGCUGAUAAACCCACUGGAUACUGUCUACUACCUUAGGGAAGUAAGGAAAAAGAAAAAGGGACUCCAAUAUAAGGGUUCUGCCAUCUUUAAUAGUAGAAAAAUGCCCUAGAGAAGAGCUCCUAAAUAGGUGGGAGAAAAUAUUUUACCAUCAGAGAUUUGAAGAUCUCUGAAAAUGAAGACACAACAGCAAUAGAUUUUCAAGGAGAAACUACCUUGAAGUAACAGAGUGUUUAAUUUAUCAAAUAAGAACAUAAUAAAAACCUAUGGCUGAAAGGUGGAAGGAGAGACAUUCAAAUGAAGAAUCAGGCAUGUAUUUUUAACCAUGUGAGCAUAUGUAACCAUAACAGAUUGCCAGGGAAAGGGAUGGAGUUCCUAAUAUUGUGUCUUCACAUCAGGUAUAGGCAACUUCCUGAAGAAGCACUGAUCAAGACAUUUGCCACCAAACCAAAGCCAGAAUGGAAUGUUAAUGUUCUCUGAGAAUGAUUGGAUUAGAAAACCUAACACAUCUUCAUGCCAUGAGGAUCUGCAAAGUCUUCUCUCUUAUUCCAGUGGCAUAAAGUAUGAACAUGGUCCCUCAGCAACUUUGGUGAGAUAGAAGGGAUAAAGCAAAGGCAGGAAGGAUUCAGGAAAAGAAGCAGAGUGAAAAUUUAGGAUGACAGGAAAAAAGGCUUCAUUUGAGAGAUCAGAAUCUCCCUUUCUUUCCCGUGACUGUUUCGUUGUACUCUCCUUGGCAAAACACUUAGAAGAGGUAAUGCUGAUCCUUCUUAGUAAACUAAAUAGCUCCAGAACGUAUUCACAAGCACUGAAAUCUGAUAAUCUAUAAUAUUAAACUGUGCAAAUAGGAGGAAUUUGGCUUUGGGUAUCUAGCCAUCACCCAAACUGUUAGCAAAUCUGGAAAAUUCAAGGACCCAUGCAUCCUCCUUGCUUGUGGAGUUAAGGGAGUUCAAUACUGUGGACAUGGGUCAUUCUAUGCCACCUAGUCUCAGUGCCAGAGAAUUAGUUUAAGCAUGUUUAAUUUACUAGUACAGACACAAUUCUUGUUUCCUGAAGCUGUGGUAAUUACCUAAGGAGAUAUAAGCCAGUUUGAGUUAACUUACUGUAUACUUAAUAGUUUUUUGGAAAAGAUAAAGGAUUGAAGAUAAAAGUCUGGGACUUUGCUCAUGCUUGACAUUCUUCUCAGAACUCUGAAGAUAUGUACUAGACUACAAUUUUUAUUUGAAAGUCAUCUGAACAGUUUUGCAAGGUUUCAUCAUCUUGUAUUGUCUGACUGUUGGAAUACACCCACUGAAGUACGAAUCUCCCACAUUUUUUACCUGGAAAAAAUUCUGCACAACCAUUGUAAGGCCUUUUUCCCAAGGCGGCAAAAUCUUAAGCCCAGGAAAGGAAAGCAAGAUUCAUUUCCUUCAAGUGAGGAGCUCUCUGACUUCGAGCUAUCCUUAUGUGUGCUCAUCCAUGUGAGAAGAAGAGGUGAUCUACAGGGACUAUUCAAGUGAGGAGCUCCAGAUAUUUGAACCAAGACCUUCCUAAUUAUUGUCUAAUAGAUAGAUCGUGAAAUCACCCAUCAUAAGGUAAUGCUCAUUUUUGUUUGUGUAAGAGUUUGAAAAUAGUAGCCAAUCUCCAUUUGUGACUUCCAGAGAAAGAUUUCCACAUUGUUUUAUCUUGUUCAUUCUCCACAGAAGUAGGAGCUGACAUAAACUCACUGUUCUCAGAUGGGUAGUUACUCAGCCAUCCCUCUUAGCUGCAAUGUUGGGAACUGUUUUGCUGGACUAUCUCUCUGCAAUGACCUUAUAAAAUCAAGCUUCUCCAUUACACUGUACAGUCAAGCUAGUUUAAAUCAUUACAAGUUGACUUAUUCAGCUGAUGACAAAAGAAGAAAUACUUAUCUCUGAGUCCACAUUCUAUGAUACUUUAGUGAGUACAUUAUCUCUGUCAGCUCAGGAUGCUGCUUCUAUACUUCCCGUUCUAAAGAGCAUUGCUUUUACCUCUGGAGUUCACCAAACUGUUCCUCAGAGGCUGGCAGAGUCACACAUGAGUUCAAGAAAAUAAAAGAAGGAAGGAUAGGGUCUGGAAUAAUGUUACGGUCAUCAAAAGUAGCUUGAUGACAAUACUGGCAAGGCAUCUGUUCACCUCCAUGGAGUAAGGAUUCUGACUUUGAAUGCAGUCUCAUGAAUCUCAUCACAAAGCCUAUCACAAAGUUUAUGUUUUAAACAUAAAACAAGUUCCCAAAACAACAAAAAUUCUUGUGAAACUAACAUCUUGUUCAAAACAAAAUCUUGAGUGGGGAAAUUCUGGUCAUAAAAACUGUGGAGGAUGAAGGAGAGAGGCAUGGACUGAAAGGAGAGUGCAAUGACUGACUUUUGAUUGUUAUUGUAGGACUAAGAUGUUUGCCACUUGCUUCUAGCUAUGCUGUUACAUUCAUUUUCAUGAUGUUUAUUGAGAAUCUUCCCAACUUAGUUAUAGACAGACAUCAGGCCAGCAUCAGACUCUUUAACAUGCAGUCAGAUGGGUGAAUCUGGUUUCACUCCAGAGCUACAGAGCUCCUCACCUCUCUUCUCUCUUCUCUUCCCCACCCAUUGCUCAUGUACCUUUGGGCAUCAGCAAGCAGACAAGUCUGCCAUGUUAUCAGCUCAGCUGUGACAGGGUAAAAUUUGGAGGCUUCCCUUAAUCACUCUAGGUGCAGGUUUACUGAAAAAUUUAUCUUUGACUACAGGCCAGGGCUGCAGACUCCCAAGUGGGAGAAAUCUUCUGCUAAUUUGAAUUUGUUAGAGUGGAGCUGUCUGUUUUCUUUUAUAGCUGGGGAGGACAAAGUAAUGAAUUUUUAUUUUACUGUAAGCAGGCAAAUAUAUUAAACAACAACAACAAAAAAGAACCAGGUUCUUCAAACAGUGCUUGAGAAUAAGGUUUUCUUUGUUGUUAUAGUAGCUGGAAUUGUUGACCGUUAAUUCAGAGCUAAUAUUUUGAAGCAUGAGGUUUUGCAAGCUGAGCCAUAUUUCUUGCAGGUCAGACUUAACCCCUUCAGAUAUUUUCCCUUCCCUUCCCUUCCCUUCCCUUCCCUUCCCUUCCCUUCCCUUCCCUUCCCUUCCCUUCCCUUCCCUUCCCUUCCCUUCCCUUCCCUUCCCUUCCCUUCCCGUGUUGUAACACAACAGAAAAAGUAGGAACCUAAUGUUAUGAUCUUUUAUGGUGUAGAAUUCAGAGGGAACUCACAGAGGCUGCUGUAAAAGAAGAGUACUGCAGUUUCUGUGCUGGAGUGGUUGGAAUGGAGAGCACAUGCAUUGUGCAUGUGUACACAUGCAUGCGUGUGCAUAUGUGUGUAUAGCCACAAGCACGGUGAGUAGUUGCUAAAUGUCAAGCUCCACGUGGCAUGGGAAGACAAUUAUUUUAGAUUUCUUUAGAUUUUUUUUCUGAGCUCAAUUUAACACGUUUUGUCUGAACUGCCACUAACCAACCAGAAGCUUCAGAAGCCAUUGUAUAAAAGGACACAUGCAACCUGGUAGAUCAUAGAGUCAUAGAAUGGCUUGGGUUGGAAGGAACCCCAAGGAUCAUCAUGUUCCAAUCAAGUAGAUUCUUGAUCAUGAUCUUUUUCCAGCAACUUUCACAAAUCCUUUGUAAAUAAUGUCUUUAUAAAUCAACAGACUGCCCACAGUUCAUGAUGAAGGAAAUCGGUCCAUAUACUUUCUGAAUCCAACAUAUGAAGAUCAUUGCUGUUCAAACUUGGCCCUGACCUUGAGAUACGAGACCUUCCUGUGGGUUGCUGAAGGAGACCCAUAUCGAUGGCAGGAGCUGUAGAGCAUGUUGUCUUGCAGGUAGUACUCCAUAACAUGGCUCCUGGAACAUAUUCACCAAAUGUCUCCACAUCCAUAAAGGACAGCACGGAUGGAAACAUCAUGAGAUAAUGCAAAGAAGGAAACAAAAAAAAAAACAAAAGCAGCAAAAAAAAAAAAAAAAAAAAAAAAGAUUUUUUAAACUUUUUGUUGUUAUUGUUGUAGUUUAAUCUGAAAAGAAACAAUGAAUUUUAAUGAUUUUUUUUCUGGAUAUUGAUCUCUAUAUUACAAUUUUGUGUAAUAAUGAACUUAAGGACAUCCUUAACUUUAAUAAUAUGUGAACUUUCAUUGUUUUCAGCAUGUCACAUGCAAACUGAGCAUGAGAUAGAGAAAUGCCUGCAGAUUCUUAAUGAACAGAGAAUAUACUACUAGCAAAGAGAGAUCUAAAAGAAAGAGAUAAUUUUGUACUAGCAGCAGAAAAACUGAGCUGAAGAACUUCAAACUGAGCAUUUGUCUAAAAUGUGAAAUUAUGUAUCCAGUCUAGCAAGAAAAAUUAUGUUAAAAAAGUUUUUAAAAAAUAAGAAAAAAUAAAUAAAUGAAGAAAUGCAUUCCUAAACUGAAAAAAAAGCUGUUUCAUUUUCCAGCAUUGUCUGAUUAAAAUAUUUGUCUUGAAACUUGAUGCAAUUUUCAUUGAUAUGGCAAUGUUUUGCUCUUGCUGCUCAAACUCUUAUAGCACAGGAGUGUCUGAAGGAUUUAUUACUUAACAUUUGUAAAGAGCUUUGCAGAUGAAAAGCGCUGCUUAAGCGCAGUAAUUACACUUCCAAUUGAGAAAAUAUGCUUUUCUUUCUCCAUUGCUCUGCAUUCUUGCUCAUUCCUUCCUUCUCUG